rnacentral:rRNA from 1 species
AUUGAACGCUGGCGGCAGGCUUAACACAUGCAAGUCGAGCGGGGGAAGGUAGCUUGCUACUGGACCUAGCGGCGGACGGGUGAGUAAUGCUUAGGAAUCUGCCUAUUAGUGGGGGACAACAUCUCGAAAGGGAUGCUAAUACCGCAUACGUCCUACGGGAGAAAGCAGGGGAUCUUCGGACCUUGCGCUAAUAGAUGAGCCUAAGUCGGAUUAGCUUGUUGGUGAGGUAAAGGCUUACCAAGGUGACGAUUCGUAGCUGGUCUGAGAGGACGGCCAGCCACACUGGGACUGAGACACGGCCCAGACUCCUACGGGAGGCAGCAGUGGGGAAUUUUGGACAAUGGGGGAAACCCUGAUCCAGCGAUGCCGCGUGUGUGAAGAAGGCCUUCGGGUUGUAAAGCACUUUUAGUGGGGAAGAAAAGCUCAAGGUGAAUAUCCUUGAGCCAUGACGUUACCCAAAGAAAAAGCACCGGCUAACUCUGUGCCAGCAGCCGCGGUAA